rnacentral:tRNA from 2 species
GGAUAUAGCUCAGUUGGUUAGAGCGCCGGUCUGUGGAACCGGAGGUCGUGGGUUCGAGUCCCACUAUC